GUGAACCUGCUGCUGGAUCAUUAUAUC
rnacentral:rRNA from 1 species